AGAGUUUGAUCCUGGCUCAGGACGAACGCUGGCGGCGUGCUUAACACAUGCAAGUCGAGCGAUGAAGCACCUUCGGGUGUGAAUUAGCGGCGAACGGGUGAGGAACACGUGAAGAAUCUGCCUUCAACUCUGGGAUAACUCCGGGAAACCGGGGCUAAUACCGGAUAUGAGCCUUGAUCGCAUGAUCGGGGCUGGAAAGUUUUUCGGUUGAAGAUGACUUCGCGGCCUAUCAGCUUGUUGGUGAGGUAAUGGCUCACCAAGGCGACGACGGGUAGCCGGCCUGAGAGGGCGACCGGCCACACUGGGACUGAGACACGGCCCAGACUCCUACGGGAGGCAGCAGUGGGGAAUAUUGGGCAAUGGAGGAAACUCUGACCCAGCGACGCCGCGUGAGGGAUGAAGGCCUUCGGGUUGUAAACCUCUUUCAGUAGGGAAGAAGCGAAAGUGACGGUACCUACAGAAGAAGCACCGGCUAACUAUGUGCCAGCAGCCGCGGUAAU
rnacentral:rRNA from 1 species